UACGAAGGGGGCUAGCGUUGCUCGGAAUUACUGGGCGUAAAGGGCGCGUAGGCGGCUCAUACAGUCAGGCGUGAAAUUCCUGGGCUCAACCUGGGGGCUGCGCUUGAGACGUGUGGGCUUGAGGACAGGAGAGGCUCGUGGAAUUCCCAGUGUAGAGGUGAAAUUCGUAGAUAUUGGGAGGAACACCAGUGGCGAAGGCGGCUACCUGGACCGGUUCUGGCGCUGAUGCGCGAAAGCGUGGGUAGCAAACAGG
rnacentral:rRNA from 1 species